CGGCCACGUUCCGGGCUCUCAGUCGGAUCUGCCAAAAUCUGCAGGCUCCUCAGGCAGGGGGUCACCUGCUGACUCCCGGCGCCUUUCUUGGGUUUGGCGGGACCUGCGCUUCCUCCGGAGGCGACCACACUACGGUUAUUGGUAGCAAACCGUUGUCACCUGCGUGGCUGGUACCAAUUCCCCUGCCUCUGCCCCGAGAAAAUUCCACAGCCGUGAGACUCGAGCACACCCCACAAUUUGUGCUAAUUCUCCGGGACGUACCCUCCACUGUUUCCAAGUUUUUUCGACCUUGAAUGCUGUGUCUGUCCUCACCACGUUGAGCAAGCUUGACUGGACACCCCGCGGUCGCCUUUAAGAUAUAUGGCCCCUUGGAGUAUCAGGACGCAGAGGCCCGUUUCACUCCCCUGGGCUCCCUUUAUAAACAUCAUGGAAGAAAACUGCCUGAGAUGUUUGCUACAAAUGAAGUGUGUGAUCUUCU